rnacentral:tRNA from 1 species
GAUGCAGUCAAAAACGCGGCUCGACAUUGUGUGCUCUCACCACUCCCUCGCACACU